AUCCAUUCUAGGUAAAGAUGAAGUAUUUGUGAUUCUUCAUUUUGCUACUCAUUAAAAGUAUUACUCAUUCAUAUAUGCAUGAGUCUGAUGUGGAAUCUCUAUUUUGGUCCACUCAUCUAUUUGCUUAUCUGGAAGCCAUAGACAUACUUGUUUUGGGUGUUUUGUUUUUUUUGGUUUUUUUGUUUUGUUUUUUAAGAGACAUGUUCUUUUUAUGUUAACCAGACUGGACUCAAACAUCUGGCCUCAAGUGAUCCUCCUGCUUUGGCCUCCUAAAGUGUUGAGAUUACAGACAUGAAUCACCGCACUCAGCCUGAGACAUACUUCUUUAAUUCCUGUAACAUUAUUUUAUGCUUUGAUACCUGAUGGAUAAUGCAGGGCCAAGCUGCACCAUGUUCCUAAGAGAAAGCCAAGAACAUAAGUCACACAAGCCCUCAGGAAGAGAAGGAAAGAAUGAGUGACAGUAGACCGCAGAUGUGAGCAAAUUCAUGGAGGAUGGAAACUGAAUGAGGGAAUGGUGGCUGGCUUAACUUAACAGAGGAAAGUGCAUUCUAAAUACCUAUCAUAAAAGCAACAAAGAGAAUAAGCCUAUCCACUCCACACUUUGGAACUGCCUGUUUAAAAGUUGAUCCCCGGACCCCACCAAGUCUACAAGCUCCACCUCAAGGACAGAAUGGAAACUGUAUUCAUCGAGGGGCUUUUAAUUGACAAAUAAAAAUUGUAUAUAUUUAUCCAUGUAUAAUAUGAAGGUUUGAAAUAUGUAUACACUGGGGAAUGGCUAAAUCAAGCUAACUAACAUCUGCAUUACCUCACAUACUUAUUUUUUGUGGUGAGAACACUUAAAAUCUACUCUCUUAGUAAUUUUCAAGAGUACAAUAUAUUGUUAUUAACUAUAGUCACAAUGUUGUCUAGCAGACCCUUCUCAGAAUCUAACAAAAUGUUUGGCUAGUAAUAGGGGCUCAAAAAGUAUUUGUGAGUGAAAAGAGUGAAUAUAUUAAUUAAUUUGUUAAUGUAUUCACUGGCAGGUGUAUUUACCUAAUUCAGUCUUUAAAAUAAUGUUCUAUAUUCCAAGUUUUCCUUAGGGAGUUAACCCAAUAUUAUAGCUUGAUUGUUUACACAAGACCCAUAAAACAAACUAUAAUAGCAAUAGUCAACAAAGAGAUGAUAUUGGCAUAAUAUAAUGCUAUAUUGGUUUUAUUGUGCUGCCAUAACAAAUUACCAAAAAUUUAGUAUCUUAAAAC
rnacentral:lncRNA from 10 species